rnacentral:rRNA from 1 species
UUAAGCGACUAAGCGUACACGGUGGAUGCCCUGGCAGUCAGAGGCGAUGAAGGACGUGCUAAUCUGCGAUAAGCGUCGGUAAGGUGAUAUGAACCGUUAUAACCGGCGAUUUCCGAAUGGGGAAACCCAGUGUGAUUCGUCACACUAUCAUUAACUGAAUCCAUAGGUUAAUGAGGCGAACCGGGGGAACUGAAACAUCUAAGUACCCCGAGGAAAAGAAAUCAACCGAGAUUCCCCCAGUAGCGGCGAGCGAACGGGGAGCAGCCCAGAGCCUGAAUCAGUGUGUGUGUUAGUGGAAGCGUCUGGAAAGGCGCGCGAUACAGGGUGACAGCCCCGUACACAAAAAUGCACAUGCUGUGAGCUCGAUGAGUAGGGCGGGACACGUGGUAUCCUGUCUGAAUAUGGGGGGACCAUCCUCCAAGGCUAAAUACUCCUGACUGACCGAUAGUGAACCAGUACCGUGAGGGAAAGGCGAAAAGAACCCCGGCGAGGGGAGUGAAAAAGAACCUGAAACCGUGUACGUACAAGCAGUGGGAGCACAGAGCAAUCUGUGUGACUGCGUACCUUUUGUAUAAUGGGUCAGCGACUUAUAUUCUGUAGCAAGGUUAACCGAAUAGGGGAGCCGAAGGGAAACCGAGUCUUAACUGGGCGUUAAGUUGCAGGGUAUAGACCCGAAACCCGGUGAUCUAGCCAUGGGCAGGUUGAAGGUUGGGUAACACUAACUGGAGGACCGAACCGACUAAUGUUGAAAAAUUAGCGGAUGACUUGUGGCUGGGGGUGAAAGGCCAAUCAAACCGGGAGAUAGCUGGUUCUCCCCGAAAGCUAUUUAGGUAGCGCCUCGUGAAUUCAUCUCCGGGGGUAGAGCACUGUUUCGGCAAGGGGGUCAUCCCGACUUACCAACCCGAUGCAAACUGCGAAUACCGGAGAAUGUUAUCACGGGAGACACACGGCGGGUGCUAACGUCCGUCGUGAAGAGGGAAACAACCCAGACCGCCAGCUAAGGUCCCAAAGUCAUGGUUAAGUGGGAAACGAUGUGGGAAGGCCCAGACAGCCAGGAUGUUGGCUUAGAAGCAGCCAUCAUUUAAAGAAAGCGUAAUAGCUCACUGGUCGAGUCGGCCUGCGCGGAAGAUGUAACGGGGCUAAACCAUGCACCGAAGCUGCGGCAGCGACGCUGAUGCGUUGUUGGGUAGGGGAGCGUUCUGUAAGCCUGCGAAGGUGUGCUGUGAGGCAUGCUGGAGGUAUCAGAAGUGCGAAUGCUGACAUAAGUAACGAUAAAGCGGGUGAAAAGCCCGCUCGCCGGAAGACCAAGGGUUCCUGUCCAACGUUAAUCGGGGCAGGGUGAGUCGACCCCUAAGGCGAGGCCGAAAGGCGUAGUCGAUGGGAAACAGGUUAAUAUUCCUGUACUUGGUGUUACUGCGAAGGGGGGACGGAGAAGGCUAUGUUGGCCGGGCGACGGUUGUCCCGGUUUAAGCGUGUAGGCUGGUUUUCCAGGCAAAUCCGGAAAAUCAAGGCUGAGGCGUGAUGACGAGGCACUACGGUGCUGAAGCAACAAAUGCCCUGCUUCCAGGAAAAGCCUCUAAGCAUCAGGUAACAUCAAAUCGUACCCCAAACCGACACAGGUGGUCAGGUAGAGAAUACCAAGGCGCUUGAGAGAACUCGGGUGAAGGAACUAGGCAAAAUGGUGCCGUAACUUCGGGAGAAGGCACGCUGAUAUGUAGGUGAAGUCCCUCGCGGAUGGAGCUGAAAUCAGUCGAAGAUACCAGCUGGCUGCAACUGUUUAUUAAAAACACAGCACUGUGCAAACACGAAAGUGGACGUAUACGGUGUGACGCCUGCCCGGUGCCGGAAGGUUAAUUGAUGGGGUCAGCGCAAGCGAAGCUCUUGAUCGAAGCCCCGGUAAACGGCGGCCGUAACUAUAACGGUCCUAAGGUAGCGAAAUUCCUUGUCGGGUAAGUUCCGACCUGCACGAAUGGCGUAAUGAUGGCCAGGCUGUCUCCACCCGAGACUCAGUGAAAUUGAACUCGCUGUGAAGAUGCAGUGUACCCGCGGCAAGACGGAAAGACCCCGUGAACCUUUACUAUAGCUUGACACUGAACAUUGAGCCUUGAUGUGUAGGAUAGGUGGGAGGCUUUGAAGUGUGGACGCCAGUCUGCAUGGAGCCGGCCUUGAAAUACCACCCUUUAAUGUUUGAUGUUCUAACGUUGACCCGUAAUCCGGGUUGCGGACAGUGUCUGGUGGGUAGUUUGACUGGGGCGGUCUCCUCCUAAAGAGUAACGGAGGAGCACGAAGGUUGGCUAAUCCUGGUCGGACAUCAGGAGGUUAGUGCAAUGGCAUAAGCCAGCUUGACUGCGAGCGUGACGGCGCGAGCAGGUGCGAAAGCAGGUCAUAGUGAUCCGGUGGUUCUGAAUGGAAGGGCCAUCGCUCAACGGAUAAAAGGUACUCCGGGGAUAACAGGCUGAUACCGCCCAAGAGUUCAUAUCGACGGCGGUGUUUGGCACCUCGAUGUCGGCUCAUCACAUCCUGGGGCUGAAGUAGGUCCCAAGGGUAUGGCUGUUCGCCAUUUAAAGUGGUACGCGAGCUGGGUUUAGAACGUCGUGAGACAGUUCGGUCCCUAUCUGCCGUGGGCGCUGGAGAAUUGAGGGGGGCUGCUCCUAGUACGAGAGGACCGGAGUGGACGCAUCACUGGUGUUCGGGUUGUCAUGCCAAUGGCACUGCCCGGUAGCUAAAUGCGGAAGAGAUAAGUGCUGAAAGCAUCUAAGCACGAAACUUGCCCCGAGAUGAGUUCUCCCUGACUCCUUGAGAGUCCUGAAGGAACGUUGAAGACGACGACGUUGAUAGGCCGGGUGUGUAAGCGCAGCGAUGCGUUGAGCUAACCGGUACUAAUGAACCGUGAGGCUUAACCUU